rnacentral:tRNA from 1 species
GGGUUUUGAGUUGGCAGCAAUUUAUAAUUUGCAAUUAUAAGAGAUAUUAUUAUAGUACCCU